UGAUGUGAACGCAAUCUGGCUGCCCGAGGUCGGACACCCCUUUGGUGGCCAGGGCUGAUCCGGCUGGGUUGGCAGGCGUCCCCUUCCUCCCCCACUGCUCUCUGUGCAUCCUUCCUCCCCCGGUACACAUGGUGCCUGCUUAGUCAAAGAGGACAACCUUUCCCCCGCAAGGAAGGCCAUUUUUUGGUCAAGGGUAUCUGAGUAGCUGUGCCCCCUUGCCAGAACCUCCAGACAAGAUCUCAAGAAAGUCAAUCUCUAUAAAAUAGAGAAUAUUUUAAAUAUCAAAUUUCUUGUCUGUUUUUA
rfam:Otolemur garnettii contig142213, whole genome shotgun sequence.